rnacentral:rRNA from 1 species
UACGUAGGUGGCAAGCGUUGUCCGGAUUUAUUGGGUUUAAAGGGUGCGUAGGCGGUCUUUUAAGUCAGUGGUGAAAUACUUCAGCUUAACUGGAGAGGUGCCGUUGAUACUGGGAGACUUGAGUACUGAUGAGGUAGGCGGAAUGGACGGUGUAGCGGUGAAAUGCUUAGAUGUCGUCAAGAACACCGAUAGUGAAGACAGCUUACUAUGCUUCAACUGACGCUGAGGCACGAAAGUGUGGGGAUCAAACAGG